AUAUCAAUAAGCGGAGGAAAAGAAACUAACAAGGAUUCCCCUAGUAACGGCGAGUGAAGCGGGAAGAGCUCAAAUUUGAAAUCUAGUAGCCUUCGGCUGCUCGAGUUGUAAUCUAGAGAAGUGUUUUCCGUGCCGGCCCAUGUACAAGUCCCUUGGAACAGGGCGUCAUAGAGGGUGAGAAUCCCGUCCUUGACAUGGACCCCCGGUGCUCUGUGAUACACUUUCAACGAGUCGAGUUGUUUGGGAAUGCAGCUCAAAAUGGGUGGUGAAUUCCAUCUAAAGCUAAAUAUUGGCGAGAGACCGAUAGCGAACAAGUACCGUGAGGGAAAGAUGAAAAGCACUUUGGAAAGAGAGUUAAACAGUACGUGAAAUUGUUGAAAGGGAAACGAUUGAAGUCAGUCAUGCUCUUUGGUAUUUAUAUCAUUGAGUGGGGUCAACAUCAGUUUUGAUCGAUGGAUAAAGGCACUAGGAAGGUAGCACUCUCGGGUGAACUUAUAGCCUAGCGUCAUAUACAUUGAUUGGGACUGAGGAACGCAGCAUGCCUUUAUGGCCGGGAUUCGUCCACGUACAUGCUUAGGAUGUUGACAUAAUGGCUUUAAACGAC
rnacentral:rRNA from 1 species